rnacentral:ncRNA from 1 species
GAACAUUAGAAAAUUUUAGUAUGCCCCAAAUACCCAGUGAUGUUCUGCCACGGACGACAAAACAAGGCUUCACGAGCCAGGGAUGGCUCGUUGAAUGCCGGUCACGUCACUCUGAAAUAAUCUUCAUCUGGCAUAGUUAGAUUUUUCUUAUGU